rnacentral:rRNA from 1 species
AUUGAACGCUGGCGGAAUGCUUUACACAUGCAAGUCGAACGGUAGAGGGGGCAACCCCUCGAGAGUGGCGAACGGGUGAGUAAUAUAUCGGAACGUGCCCAGUCGUGGGGGAUAACGUAGCGAAAGUUACGCUAAUACCGCAGACGGUCUAAGGAUGAAAGCGGGGGAACGCAAGACCUCGCGUGAUUGGAGCGGCCGAUAACAGAUUAGGUAGUUGGUGGGGUAAAGGCUCACCAAGCCAACGAUCUGUAGCUGGUCUGAGAGGACGACCAGCCACACUGGAACUGAGACACGGUCCAGACUCCUACGGGAGGCAGCAGUGGGGAAUUUUGGACAAUGGACGCAAGUCUGAUCCAGCCAUUCCGCGUGCAGGAUGAAGGCCCUCGGGUUGUAAACUGCUUUUGUACGGAACGAAAAGGUCUCUCUUAAUACGGGGGGCUCAUGACGGUACCGUAAGAAUAAGCACCGGCUAACUACGUGCCAGCCGCCGCCGUAA